rnacentral:rRNA from 1 species
GACGAACCGUGCGAACGUUAUUCGGAAUCAUUGGGCGUAAAGCGCGUGUAGGCGGCCAGAAAAGUCCGCUGUGAAAACUCGAGGCUCAACUUCGAGCUGUCGGUGGAAACUUUCUGGCUAGAGUCCGGAAGAGGAGAAUGGAAUUCCUGGUGUAGCGGUGAAAUGCGCAGAUACCAGGAAGAACACCCGUGGCGAAGGCGGUUCUCUGGGACGGUACUGACGCUGAGACGCGAAAGCGUGGGGAGCGAACAGG